rnacentral:ncRNA from 2 species
CAGCAAGCUGUCUAGGGUUCCGUUCGAACGACUUGCAGCACUCGGCUAUGAUCGGGUGGGCACGGGUUUGAGUUCUGGUCCGAGAGAUGGCGUAUAGCAAGCGGCAGCCUUGAUUGGCGCCUAGGCUGUAUAACACGGAAGGAUAAAAGCCUGGGAGAU